GUUAACAUUAGAGAAAAUGUAACAUACACACACUUUCACUGUUGGGAGGCUAAAUGAAGGUGGGUUUAUGGAAGGGAUUAAGGUAGCAAGGGAGAAGGAAAGUUAAAAAUAACAAGUGCCUUUCACCAAGUGCUUAUUAGGAGCCAAGGCCCAGGAAAGUGAUCUGAAGAUAUUGUCUAAUUAUAGCCAACACUUAAACAGUGCUGACCUCGGGCCAGGAGCCGUCUCAUGCAUGCAAACCGUUCAGAUCCUCAUGACUCAGGGGAGAAGGUGGUAUGCCCUGAUGUGCUUCUACUCAGGAAGAUAUCCCAGGACUCCUGAGUUGGCUGUUUCCUUCUUCGUGGCAUCUUCUCACUGGGGUUUGACCUGAGCAUUCUGGGAAGCGUGGUUCAGCUUUUUGAACCUCGCUAUCUCUCUUUUCUUUCUCCCUUCCUGCUUCCAAGUGGUUGUAUUUUUGGUUAUUGUUUAAACAAACAAACAGAACCCAAACGAACAAAUCCAAACCGUAAACGUCUACUUAUUUUACGUGUGUGAAUUUUUGCUUGUGUGUGUGUGUGUGUGUGUAUGUGUGUGUGUGUAUGUAUGUAUGUAUGUAUGUAUGUAUGUAUGUAUGUAUGUAUGUGCACCAUGUGCAACCCGGGUUAACUGAGGUUAACUCCUGGACUGGAGUUAAAGACCAUUGUGAGGACCCAAACCCGAGUCCUCUUAGAGCUGCUGGAGCCCUGGACAGCUGAACUAGUUUCCCAGCCCUUCUGUUUUGCUUUACGCCGGGCAGGAUUUCUUGUAGCUCAGGCUGGCCAACUCCCAAGUUAACCACGCCUAGCAGUUAACUUCAUUUUUGCACCAUUGCUUGUGUGGGUCUAACGGAAAAGCGCCUAAGAAUUGAGGACAUUCACCUUUAGUCGCACUCCGUGCCCCUCGGGACUGGCUGGAACAGAUUUAGAUGCCAAGUCUCCAAACCAGCCGCGCUACAAGUUUCC